rnacentral:rRNA from 1 species
GAUGAACGCUGGCGGCGUGCUUAACACAUGCAAGUCGAACGGAAAGGCCCUGCGGUUUCCUCGAUUGCCGAACGGGUGGGUGAGAGGUGGGCGAUCUGCUCUGCACCUUGUGAUAAGGCUGGGAAACUGGGUCUAAUACCGAAUAGGACCACGCGCUUCUGGGUGUGUGGGUGAAAUCUUUUGCGGCGUGGUUUGGGCCCGAGGUCGAUCAGCUUGGUGGUGGUGUAAUGGCUUACCAAGGCCACGACGGGUAGCCGGCCUGGGAGGGUGACCGGCCACACUGGGACUGAGAUACGGACCAGACUCCUACGGGAGGCAGCAGUGGGGAAUAUUGCACAAUGGGCGCAAGCCUGAUGCAGCGACGCCGCGUGAGGGAUGACGGCCUUCGAGUUGUAAACCUCUUUCAAUAGGGACGAAGCGCAAGUGACGGUACCUAUAGAAGAAGCACCGGCCAACUACGUG